rnacentral:rRNA from 1 species
GAUGAACGCUGGCGGCGUGCCUAAUACAUGCAAGUCGAGCGAACAGACGAGGAGCUUGCUCCUCUGACGUUAGCGGCGGACGGGUGAGUAACACGUGGAUAACCUACCUAUAAGACUGGGAUAACUUCGGGAAACCGGAGCUAAUACCGGAUAAUAUAUUGAACCGCAUGGUUCAAUAGUGAAAGACGGUUUUGCUGUCACUUAUAGAUGGAUCCGCGCCGCAUUAGCUAGUUGGUAAGGUAACGGCUUACCAAGGCAACGAUGCGUAGCCGACCUGAGAGGGUGAUCGGCCACACUGGAACUGAGAAACGGUCCAGACUCCUGCGGGAGGCAGCAGUAGGGAAUCUUCCGCAAGGGGCGAAAGCCUGACGGAGCAACGCCGCGUGAGUGAUGAAGGUCUUCGGAUCGUAAAACUCUGUUAUUAGGGAAGAACAAAUGUGUAAGUAACUAUGCACGUCUUGACGGUACCUAAUCAGAAAGCCACGGCUAACUACGUG